rnacentral:rRNA from 1 species
GAUGAACGCUGGCGGCGUGCUUAACACAUGCAAGUCGAACGGUGAAGGCGGAGCUUGCUCUGCUGGAUCAGUGGCGAACGGGUGAGUAACACGUGAGCAAUCUGCCCCUGACUCUGGGAUAAGCGCUGGAAACGGCGUCUAAUACUGGAUACGAGCUGCGAAGGCAUCUUCAGCAGCUGGAAAGAAUUUCGGUCAGGGAUGAGCUCGCGGCCUAUCAGCUUGUUGGUGAGGUAAUGGCUCACCAAGGCGUCGACGGGUAGCCGGCCUGAGAGGGUGACCGGCCACACUGGGACUGAGACACGGCCCAGACUCCUACGGGAGGCAGCAGUGGGGAAUAUUGCACAAUGGGCGAAAGCCUGAUGCAGCAACGCCGCGUGAGGGACGACGGCCUUCGGGUUGUAAACCCCUUUUAGCAGGGAAGAAGCGAAAGUGACGGUACCUGCAGAAAAAGCGCCGGCUAACUACGUG